UACAGAGGGUGCAAGCGUUAAUCGGAAUUACUGGGCGUAAAGCGUGCGUAGACGGUUAUGUAAGUCAGGUGUGAAAGCCCCGGGCUCAACCUGGGAAUUGCAUUUGAGACUGCAUAGCUAGGGUGCGGAAGAGGGAAGCGGAAUUUCCGGUGUAGCGGUGAAAUGCGUAGAUAUCGGAAGGAACACCAGUGGCGAAGGCGACUACCUGGCCUGUUCUUGACGCUGAGGCGCGAAAGCUAGGGGAGCAAACGGG
rnacentral:rRNA from 1 species